UACGUAGGUGGCAAGCGUUGUCCGGAUUUACUGGGCGUAAAGAGCGCGCAGGCGGUCGUUCAAGUCGCGUGUGAAAGCCCCCGGCUCAACUGGGGAGGGUCACUCGAUACUGAUCGACUCGAAGGCAGGAGAGGGUAGUGGAAUUCCCGGUGUAGUGGUGAAAUGCGUAGAUAUCGGGAGGAACACCAGUGGCGAAGGCGACUACCUGGCCUGUUAUUGACGCUGAGGCGCGAAAGCUAGGGGAGCAAACGGG
rnacentral:rRNA from 1 species